AAAGGCGCGCGAUACAGGGUGACAGCCCCGUACACAAAAGCGCAUGUGCUGUGAGCUCGAUGAGUAGGGCGGGACACGUGGUAUCCUGUCUGAAUAUGGGGGGACCAUCCUCCAAGGCUAAAUACUCCUGACUGACCGAUAGUGAACCAGUACCGUGAGGGAAAGGCGAAAAGAACCCCGGCGAGGGGAGUGAAAAAGAACCUGAAACCGUGUACGUACAAGCAGUGGGAGCACCCUUUGGGGUGUGACUGCGUACCUUUUGUAUAAUGGGUCAGCGACUUAUAUUCUGUAGCAAGGUUAACCGAAUAGGGGAGCCGGAGGGAAACCGAGUCUUAAUUGGGCGUUAAGUUGCAGGGUAUAGACCCGAAACCCGGUGAUCUAGCCAUGGGCAGGUUGAAGGUUGGGUAACACUAACUGGAGGACCGAACCGACUAAUGUUGAAAAAUUAGCGGAUGACCUGUGGCUGGGGGUGAAAGGCCAAUCAAACCGGGAGAUAGCUGGUUCUCCCCGAAAGCUAUUUAGGUAGCGCCUCGUGAAUUCAUCUCCGGGGGUAGAGCACUGUUUCGGCUAGGGGGCCAUCCCGGCUUACCAACCCGAUGCAAACUGCGAAUACCGGAGAAUGUUAUCACGGGAGACACACGGCGGGUGCUAACGUCCGUCGUGAAGAGGGAAACAACCCAGACCGCCAGCUAAGGUCCCAAAGUCAUGGUUAAGUGGGAAACGAUGUGGGAAGGCCCAGACAGCCAGGAUGUUGGCUUAGAAGCAGCCAUCAUUUAAAGAAAGCGUAAUAGCUCACUGGUCGAGUCGGCCUGCGCGGAAGAUGUAACGGGGCUAAACCAUGCACCGAAGCUGCGGCAGCGACGCUGAUGCGUUGUUGGGUAGGGGAGCGUUCUGUAAGCCUGCGAAGGUGGCCUGUGAGGGUUGCUGGAGGUAUCAGAAGUGCGAAUGCUGACAUAAGUAACGAUAAAGCGGGUGAAAAGCCCGCUCGCCGGAAGACCAAGGGUUCCUGUCCAACGUUAAUCGGGGCAGGGUGAGUCGACCCCUAAGGCGAGGCCGAAAGGCGUAGUCGAUGGGAAACGGGUUAAUAUUCCCGUACUUGGUGUUACUGCGAAGGGGGGACGGAGAAGGCUAUGUUGGCCGGGCGACGGUUGUCCCGGUUUAAGCGUGUAGGUGUGUGUUCCAGGUAAAUCCGGUUCACUUUAACA
rnacentral:rRNA from 1 species